CCUACGGGUGGCAGCAGUAGGGAAUCUUCCACAAUGGGCGAAAGCCUGAUGGAGCAAUGCCGCGUGGGUGAAGAAGGUCUUCGGAUCGUAAAACCCUGUUGUUAGAGAAGAAAGUGCGUGAGAGUAACUGUUCACGUAUCGACGGUAUCUAACCGGAAAGCCACGGCUAACUACGUGCCAGCAGCCGCGGGAAUACGUCGGUGGCAAGCGUUAUCCGGAUUUAUUGGGCGUAAAGGGAACGCAGGCGGUCUUUUAAGUGUGAUGUGAAAGCCUUCGGCUUAACCGGAGUAGUGCAUUGGAUACUGGGAGACUUGAGAGUAGAAGAGGAGAGCGGAACUCAAUGUGUAGCGGUGAAAUGCGUAGAUAU
rnacentral:rRNA from 1 species